UUUAUUACUAGUACUACGUGGUGAUAAAAAAUGUACAUUCAAACGAAUUAAGGAUUUGAGGUGCGACAUAUUCACUAUCGAUUAAAUGUCUCAGCAGAGCACAAAACUUUAGAACUCGAAUAUUAUCGCUUUCGAAUAUACACACAAAUAUUCUAUGUUCUAACAGUUGAAAAUACCAAAGUUGUUAAAGACAACAUAUGGCCAAUAUUCUUCGGUUCAUCACGUUGAUGGGGUGCGAUGGGGAGGAUGUUUCCUAGUCGAGCACUCCCGACUGGAGUACUUUUACUUGUUUAUUCAGCAUGAGGCAUUCCUUUUAAAUACUAAUAGAAAAAUCUAAACAAUGCCUUUAUAUGUAUAUGUAAUCUGUUUUCGUAUAUAAUAAAUUAUCUUCAAAGCUAUAUUCAGAUUCGAUUUUAAA